rnacentral:tRNA from 1 species
GCCGGAAUGAUGGAAUUGGCAGACGUGCUGGACUCAAAAUCCAGUGGUGGCGACACCGUGCGGGUUCAAGUCCCGCUUCCGGCACCA